GUUGUUGUGGCCGAGUGGUUAAGGCGAUGGACGACAAAUCUUUUGGGAUCUUCACGCGCAGGUUCGAAUCCUGCCGACAUCG
rnacentral:tRNA from 1 species